rnacentral:rRNA from 1 species
UCGCCCCUACGGGACGCAGCAGUGGGGAAUAUUGGACAAUGGGGGGAACCCUGAUCCAGCGACGCCGCGUGAGUGAAGAAGUAAUUCGUUACGUAAAGCUCUAUCAGCAGGGAAGAAAAUGACGGUACCUGAGUAAGAAGCCCCGGCUAACUACGUGCCAGCAGCCGCGGUAAUACGUAGGGGGCAAGCGUUAUCCGGAUUUACUGGGUGUAAAGUGAGCGUAGACGGUGCGCCA